GCUGAUAUGGCUCAGUUGGUAGAGCGCACCCUUAGUAAGGGUGAGGUCCCCAGUUCGACUCUGGGUAUCAGCACCA
rnacentral:tRNA from 1 species